GGUUCAGUUCAGUUCAAGUUCCUCUGCAGCUGCGAGCCACUGGCUCCUGACUCCUUAUAAAACCCUGCACCUGCCACCUAAACCUCUCCUUUCCUUUGAUUCUGAUUCUGAAUCAGCAGCUCCGUGCAAGUUGUAGAGCUGCCGAACAAGGGGGGUGGUGUGUGUGGCAAGAUGAGGUGCGCAGCUGUUCUUCUGGCGCUUCUGCUCUCCCUGUCUGCGCUAUCUGCCUCCACUGCUGAAGCACACGAGGAACGAUUGGACGACGAUGCGGUAUUGUUAAGCGGUCGGAGAUGGUUGAGAGGAAGGAGAAUAAUCGCAGCUACUGGGCAUGGAGAUGCUGGCAAGAAAGAUGAGGUGGUGGAAGGAAAGGGAGCCAAGAGCACAGGUGCAAACGCUGUCCCUGUCCAUGAAGAGGAGAAAACUGUAGAGGUUGUCGGGUUGAGUGGUGAGAGUCCUGGGCGUGGGAGCGGCGGCAAGCACAGAUUUGCCGGCCUCGUGCCGUUCAGUGCCGAUUACCGCACUCCGAGAACUCACCCACCAAGGAAUAACUGAAAGAGCAGAUCAAGAAGCAGACGCACCUGCUGAAGCUGUACAUGAUUCGGGUAAAAGGAGCAAGGGAUCAGCAACUCAUGCCAUGUUUCAAGCACCAAGGCAAGGAGAUACGGCCGCAGUGAUCCCCGAGGUCCUCGGCAUGGAUUACAACUACAAGCUGGAUGCCCGUCACCACCGACCCAUCAACAACGACGCUCCGCUGGAGGAUCUUGCCAAGAAGCCCUAGGUAUUGUGAAUAUCCUGGAGCAUGAGAGAAGCUGGGUCCUCUUGCUUUACAGAUACAUCUAACCACAAUAGCCAUUAGCUAAUGGUUAGCUUAGCUAGUUAGGAACUCGCUCUCCAAGCCACGUGUAGCCCGUUCUUGGCACUCAUGGAACAAUCUGAGGUCACUGGAAUGGUCAGUUUUGGUUGUAAUGUGCUUGUAUGGAGAGCAUCUGUAAUUUCUCACCAGCAUUUCUGAAGUUGCAGACAAUAGAGACUGAUGCUGAUCCUUCAGGUAAUCACUAAUCAGGUUGCAGCAUGUGUGCAAACAGCCAUGAAGUCAUGAAAUUCUGUCCUGUGACGGGAGUUGUUUCGGCCCUCUUGGGCCGAUGAAAACAUUAAACAUGUAAUGCUUCGG